UCUUCCUGUUUACCUGUGUUGUUAUGUAUUUAUUUAUGGGAUUUAUAUUUAUGCCCUUCCUAAACUACUCUCACAUCAUCAUGAGAUGUGAUUUUAAAUCAGACUCUUGCUUUUCCAGUGUGUUGGUGUAUCCGUGCCUUGCUGUGAUGGGAGAUCUUGGUUCAUGUGAUGCCAAGUGUUUUUGGAUUCUGUUGCUUAGGUUCUGGUACCUGCCUCUCACCAUCUGGUUAUCUGAGCACUUAGCUGGUCUUGCUGUCUAUGACAGUGACUUCAACUUUCUGUAAUGUAUCUGUCAGCACUUUUGGGAUACCAGCACCCUCCCAGAGGGACUUGGUUACUGAGAAAUGUAGCACUGGAUCAGCUCUGUUUGCAAAUCGAAACCAGAAUAUACUGUCCCAGCUGAUUUUGGGUUCCUGUGUCCUGAGGGCUCCAGACAGCUUCCUCUGGGCAGAAGUGGAUGUUUCUUCUGUGUCUCAGGUGUGUCAGCAUUCCUUAGAAACCAGUUCUUUCCAUGCAGGAUCUGGGCACAGAGAGUUGUGGAUCACAUUCUUCAUCAGGUGCUUAUUGAAGCCAUGGGUAACAAAACUUAUAUUGUCAUCAAAUUAUGGAUGUAUUUUUACUUAUUCUACUGUCUCAUCUGCUUUGGCAUCAGCGCUGAAUAGAUUUAAGACAUCUGCGCAUGUGUCUUCAGGUGCUGAAGAAAAACACCCUUCUCUGUACAUUGCCUAUUGGGCUGACACUUAAACAUUGCUCUGGGAUGUUGCAAACAGACCAAGCUAGAAAGGUACAAAAUGACUUUAUGUGCCUUAGUUGGAAUGUUGAUCUUAUUCUCUUAGACAAUCAACUUGUCUCUCUCUGCAUCCUAUUACACGCUGAGGACAGAAUAUUUGGAGGAUGUUGUACCUGCCCCCGAAACACUGCAACUCACUGAGUUGGAAAAUUGAGAAACUAUAAAGAAGAGAUUCUACCCUGCACUGUGGAUUCCCAGUGUUUUAUUUUGGAUGCCUUAUUCACCCAAGAGCAACAAGUUACGAAGGCAUCGAGAAAGCAUGGACAACAGCUGAGUCUUAUCACUGUGUGGCAGGGAUGGAUUUCUGGAAGACAUGCAAGAAGAGGCUACUGAUGAGAGUGCACCCCAGUUGCAACAAGUGGCUGCAUUUCUAAGGAAAAGUGACCCUUGCUCAUCCAGCAGUCAUCAGUACUAAUGGAACCCAGGAUUAUUUCCAAGAAGUGCAAAUAUGGGAUGAAAUUUUUCUUUUGAAGAAUUCGAUUGGUUGGCUGAGGAGAGAAUUCAAUGGAUUUCCCAUUGAUGAAGUUGAGAUUUGGACUUUCUAUCUUUGUGACGAACUGAGUUGGAGUUUUGAUGGGGAAUUGCACUGGAACUGUAUAUUGCUUUUGGUAAAAUGGACAUUUUUAUUAUGUUAAUCCUACUGAUACGUGAUCAUGGAAAGUCUUACAAUUUUCUGAUGUCUUUUUUGCGUUCUUGCUUCAGAGAUUUGAAAUUCUUGUCAUACACACCUUUCACUUGCCAGUUAGAGUCACACCAAUAUAUUAUGCAUUACUCAUGGCUAAUAUAAGGGGUGUUGUUUCCCUAAUAUCUUUCUCAAUAUGUUUGUAUUUUCCAUAGAGGAAGGCUACUGAUUUGAGGUGCCACAACAUGGGCCAAAAAAAUAGAAAUCAUCAGAGUUCCAUACAUGAAGCAUCAUUAAGAAUUAGGGAAUUGAUUUCCAUAUAUUCUCCUCCUCUGACCAAUGAAAUAAAUGCAAUCUCCCAUAAGUACUUUGAUUUAAUUUUAAUGUCUUAAGCAGGAUGACCAUAACAACAUCUAUAUUUUCUUUGAAUUACUAAUUUUUGAAAAUAGAUUUUUUCACACAAUAUAUUCUAAUUUUGUCAUACCUUAUAUUCCCCUAACUUAUUCUUGCCACCUGCAGAACCACCUAAUCCUAAUGUUCUCUCUCUCUCUCUCUCUC
rnacentral:sRNA from 1 species